GUUCCACGGGUUCCGUGUCGGAGCUAACGCGUUAAGCAUCCCGCCUGGGGAGUACGGCCGCAAGGCUAAAACUCAAAGAAAUUGACGGGGGCCCGCACAAGCGGCGGAGCAUGCGGAUUAAUUCGAUGCAACGCGAAGAACCUUACCUGGGCUUGACAUGUUCCCGACGAUCCCAGAGAUGGGGUUUCCUUCGGGGCGGGUUCACAGGUGGUGCAUGGUCGUCGUCAGCUCGUGUCGUGA
rnacentral:rRNA from 1 species